rnacentral:rRNA from 1 species
GUAGUCAUACGCUCGUCUCAAAGAUUAAGCCAUGCAUGUGUAAGUAUAAAUAAUUUUACUUUGAAACUGCGAAUGGCUCAUUAUAUCAGUUAUAGUUUAUUAGAAAUAUUUUACUACUUGGAUAACCGUAGUAAUUCUAGGGCUAAUACAUGAGUAAAACCUCAACUUCGGAAGAGGUGUGUUUAUUAGUAUGAAAACCAUAUAUCUUCGGAUAUAAUAGUGAGUAAUAAUAACCUUUCAUAUCGUAUGUCGUAAGAUAACGAUAGUUCUUUCAAGUUUCUGCCCUAUCAGCUUUCGAUGGUAGUAUAUGGGACUACCAUGGCAGUAACGGGUAACGAAGAAUUUGGGUUCGAUUUCGGAGAGGGAGCCUGAGAGAUGGCUACCACAUCCAAGGAAGGCAGCAGGCGCGUAAAUUACCCAAUCCUGACAUAGGGAGGUAGUGACAAUAAAUCACAAUGCGGAACUUUUA